CCCUGAUUCAGCGGCGGACGGGUGAGUAAUGCCUAGGAAUCUGCCUAUUAGUGGGGGACAACGUUUCGAAAGGAACGCUAAUACCGCAUACGUCCUACGGGAGAAAGCAGGGGACCUUCGGGCCUUGCGCUAAUAGAUGAGCCUAGGUCGGAUUAGCUAGUUGGUGGGGUAAAGGCUCACCAAGGCGACGAUCCGUAACUGGUCUGAGAGGAUGAUCAGUCACACUGGAACUGAGACACGGUCCAGACUCCUACGGGAGGCAGCAGUGGGGAAUAUUGGACAAUGGGCGAAAGCCUGAUCCAGCCAUGCCGCGUGUGUGAAGAAGGUCUUCGGAUUGUAAAGCACUUUAAGUUGGGAGGAAGGGUUGUAGAUUAAUACUCUGCAAUUUUGACGUUACCGACAGAAUAAGCACCGGCUAACUCUGUGCCAGCAGCCGCGGUAAUACAGAGGGUGCAAGCGUUAAUCGGAAUUACUGGGCGUAAAGCGCGCGUAGGUGGUUUGUUAAGUUGGAUGUGAAAGCCCCGGGCUCAACCUGGGAACUGCAUCCAAAACUGGCAAGCUAGAGUACGGUAGAGGGUGGUGGAAUUUCCUGUGUAGCGGUGAAAUGCGUAGAUAUAGGAAGGAACACCAGUGGCGAAGGCGACCACCUGGACUGAUACUGACACUGAGGUGCGAAAGCGUGGGGAGCAAACAGGAUUAGAUA
rnacentral:rRNA from 1 species